UUUUAAAGAUCUGUGUGAUCCGAUGGUGCUGGAGCAGUUUAAGAUUGCAUUCCACCUGAGGUGCCACUCAUAUUGACCGCACUUGGCACCAAUAAGAGCAAUAAACCGCCAGAUUUUGCAGUUCAACAGCCACACUUCAAGUAUUGACCCUUCCCACUUCCACAUACCACUGUGAAUGCAGCAUAGUGUCUGCUUGCCAUGGUAUCUGCUCCACCAGGACAACCUGUGGCAUUAGCGUGCAGCUCUUUCCCUGGGUUUUUCACAAGAAAAAGUUACCUUGGAAGCAAAUGAUGAGUCUAAAGACCUAUGGUACAACAUUUACAAAACCCUGGAUGCCUUUCAGUUUCUAUGCAUACCUGUUAAACAUUAAUUCAGAGACAACCCAGCCUCAACCAAAGAGACUGAAAUUGCCCAGGCAGGACUUGGAAAAAGGCAUCUCACCAUGUCCGGGGAUAGGAGCCAGGAAGAGAUGCCAUUGAAUUCUGAAGUAUGCCAAAAGCACAAUGCCGAAAAUGUGCAAAGUGAGUUUUCCUUAGCAGAUUUUGGCCCUUCAUGUUCAAGAGUGCAUGGAGUCUCAGUCAGCAGUAGAGGACAUUGAGAAAGUUCCGUAUUCUAUCUUUUUCUUGAAAUUCACACCACAGUUCCUAGAGACCCAUGCUAGCAUGUUUGGAUAAAGGAGAGAAAGAUCUCUGGAUGGCUGAUUCAACUGCUUUGAGCCAGGACUAUACAGAGGAACAGAAAAAAAAAAUGUUGAUGAUGUAUGAGAAACCAUUUGUCGAAGAGUUGACGUGAAGAAACAGUUCGACAUCCAAAUCUCAAGAACAAACAUUCUGGGGAGAGGCCUGCUGCAGUGGCAUCGUCAAAAAAAAAAAAAAAAAUUUCUCACAGAAAUGGUGGAAGAGUUGUUUCUUUGAAGGACCACAACAUCAGAGGAGCCCACAAUACUCUCUGAUUGACUUUGACAGUGGCUUCUACAGGACUGGUGGAGAGGUUUUAACUGUUAGUUUGGUGUAAGUUCGGCUGGCUCCUGCCUUUUCCAGCCCCUGGACUUGCAGUUAACUCUGUAGUGGGUAGAUAAAUCCAACAGCUCUCAACAGUGAUGCAGUGGCUGAUGUCCAGUUGUGAGAGUUAAUUGACCAGCUGAAUAUCACGGGCAUGUAGAUGACAAAGAUGGACCACAUCCCAUCACACCUGCCAGGUUUCUGCAGGCGAUCACAAGCCAAGGUCACAUUCCACUUAUUCCCUCAGAUAAGAAGGAUUGCUGUAAUGACCAAGUUUAACCAUGACUGCAUUGUAGACUUUGGGCAUCACAAUGUCUGUUACCCCGUUGUGUCAGCAUGUGCCAAUACUUUUGUGAUAACUGUAAGACAUAUGAGGUCCUAUGACCAAUUCCAAAGGUUCUAAUGGAGGCUUUUCAUCAACUGCUUCUGUUUUUCAAGAUUAAACUAAAACCUAAAUGUUUACUUGAUAAAUGUUUAGCAGCAACUACUACUGUUUUACUACUCUAUGACAAAAAUGUCUCAGUUAUACUUUGUUCCAAGGUCUUAUCAUAUUGGGAAGGAGGAAUUAGUCAAGUAAACAUAAAAAUAUUGCAUUGUUUAAUGGCAGCACUGUUGAACAUUUAUAAAUGAUAGAGAAAUGUUAAUGUU